CCUACGGGUGGCAGCAGUGAGGAAUAUUGGUCAAUGGGCGAAAGCCUGAACCAGCCAAGUCGCGUGAGGGACGACGGUCCUAUGGAUUGUAAACCUCUUUUGUCGGGGAACAAAGGCGCCCACGGGUGGGCGGAUGAGUGUGCCCGAAGAAAAAGCAUCGGCUAACUCCGUGCCAGCGGCCGCGGUAAUACGGAGGAUGCAAGCGUUAUCCGGAUUUAUUGGGUUUAAAGGGUGCGUAGGCGGACAGUCAAGUCAGAGGUAAAAAUGCGGUGCCAAACGCCGUACAGCCGUUGAAACUGGGAGUCUUGAGUGGGCGAGAAGUAUGCGGAAUGCGUGGUGUAGCGGUGAAAUGCAUAGAUAUCACGAAGAACUCCGAUGGCGAAGGCAGCAUACCGGCGCCCUACUGACGCUGAGGCACGAAAGCGUGGGUAUCGAACAGGAUUAGAUACCCGAGUAGUC
rnacentral:rRNA from 1 species